CCGGCACGCCGGAUGGCCGCCCCGCCUUCGGCGGGGAGGAAAGUCCGAGCUCCAGAGGGCAGCGUACCCCGAUAACGUCGGGGCUGAUCAGAGCUUCGCCAUGUCCUGAGCGAGGCCGAAGGCCGAGUCGAAGGACGACUGAAGCGCUGGUUGCGGAUCUCCGCCAGAGGCGGACCCGCCACGUUGUGUGGCGGGAGAGCCACAGAGACGAGUAACUCUGCGCCGCAAGGUGCGGGGCGACGUGAAACGCGGCAAUCUCUACGCGGAGCAAGGCCAAACGAUCUGCCUUUCGGGUCGCCCGCCCGAGUUCUCCGGUGUCUUCCGCCAACGAACUGUGGCGGAUGACACCGGGACGGCAGGAGGGUAGGCCGCAGGAGCCUGGUGGCAACACCUGGCCCAGAUGGAUGGCCAUCUCUUCGAAGCUUCGCUUCGCGAAGCGUAGAAGGACAGAACUCGGCUUACAGGCGUCCGCCGGUUGA
rnacentral:RNase_P_RNA from 2 species